GAUCAUGGCUCAGGAUGAACGCUAGCGGAAGGCUUAAUACAUGCAAGUCGAGCGGUAGGUGGCUUCGGCCAUUGAGAGCGGCGCACGGGUGAGUAACGCGUACAUGACCUGCCUGUCAGAAGGGGAUAGCCCUGGGAAACUGGGAUUAAUACCCUAUGGUAUUGAUAUUAUGAAUGAUAUCAAUUAAAGUUGAGGCGCUGACAGAUGGAUGUGCGUCUGAUUAGCUAGUUGGUAGGGUAACGGCCUACCAAGGCGACGAUCAGUAGGGGGCGUGAGAGCGUGGUCCCCCACACGGGUACUGAGACACGGACCCGACUCCUACGGGAGGCAGCAGUAAGGAAUAUUGGUCAAUGCCCGCAAGGGUGAACCAGCCAUUCCGCGUGGAGGAUGAAGGCCCUAUGGGUUGUAAACUUCUUUUAGAUGGGAAGAAAAUGCUAGAUGUAUCUGGUACUGACGGUACCAUCAGAAUAAGCACCGGCUAACUCCGUG
rnacentral:rRNA from 1 species